AGGAAAAGGAGAGACCGUUUCUGGAAAUUUUUGGAAUGGGGGAGUUGGAAAGAUUUUGAAUUUUCUCUGUAUUUUAAUAAUGAAAAAUCUUUCCAAUUCCUCCCAUUCCACUGAUUUCCAACACUUCCUUUCCAUUUUCUUACCUUUCUUCAAUCCUUUUUGUUUCAUCAUUUCUGGCAGUUUGUAAGUGAAAUCGGUAAACCUUACCUAAUUUUCUUACUCUUCUGUUUUAUUUUUAUAUAGAUCUAUUCUUAAUUGUCUUCCAUGGAUCUUUUGAGAUUUGCUUCUUGCUAUAUAGUUCCAGAUCCUUGGUUUUAUUUUUUAGUUAAAAAUUAGGUACAAGGGAACUUAUUAAUAUUGAAAUUGUAAGUGGAAAAUUCUGGAUCUGUCGUUGAGUUGGUGGAGAUCAAAUUAAGUCGGGAUAUAUUGAUUUAAUUGAAAGGUAGGUGGAUUUUAUAUCUUUUUUACCCUGUUUUUGGAAAAGUUAAAAAUGGAGCGAUGAAAAUGAGAUGGAUAAGGUAGAUCUAUGUUGUUUGAGUUGGGAUAGCUUUUUAUAAUCCAAUGAGAUGGAUAAGGUAGAUCUAUGUUGUUUGUUUAGAACAUAAAGUUUUUGUGAUGGGAAAAGUGGUGUAACUUGAAGCAUAAUAAUUUUAGUUUGCUCACCUUAUAACAUUCAAUAAAAGCAGGAGUUUUGUUCUAUUUGUUGUUAACCAUCCGGCUCUAGUUUAUCGUUUUUAGUUCUAUGUUGAACAUUUUAGCUUUCAAAUCUUCUGUUUGUAUAUUCUAGAUGUUUAUGUUAUGAUCUUUUUAUCUUGAUUACUGUAAUUUAAAAAUCCUUUUGGAAUGUGUGUUUAUUUUGCAGAAAGCAAUUUGCAAGGAGCCUCAAUAGUCAAAGAUGGACAGUAAUCAAGAUCAAAAUGCAAUUGUUGGAGUCGUGGCUUCAGUUUUAGCUUUUAGGGAUAUUUGGAUUAAAAAAUUAAACAAAAAGCAGGGGUAUUUUGGUUCGCACAAUCGAACUUAAAGCUCAGGAAUGUCAGCUAACCUAGGGUUAAGGAUGACGACCACCUGAAGGCUAUAAAUAGGCUUCUUUGGCAUAAGUUAUGGACACUAUUCCGUUAGCUUAGAUUCUCUCUUUAGAUUUAGUUUUGUUUUCUUAUUUUCUUAGGUUUUCUAAAGUUCAGUUUAUUUGUUCUUUAUUUUCUUUCAAGAUAUCUGAUUUGUGAAGGAGAUGAACUUUUGUGGAUUCAUGCUUAUUAUUAAUAUAAAUCAACCUUUUCUUAAA